rnacentral:sRNA from 1 species
AACAAAGCAGAAGUAUCCGCUUCUCACCUUGCGGCACAAAGCACGACAGGGUUAAUAAAUAUAACUUUAGGCAUAAGCCUUUAUGUAGAUUUUUUGCGGAUAGUUUUGCUGUCCGCUUUUUUUAUUUU